GUCCAGGGAUGGGAAUCGAACCCACAACGUUUCGCCUACUGGGCAGAUGCCAUGUCCACUAGGCUACCCUGGA
rnacentral:tRNA from 1 species